UUUUCCUACGGGGCGCAGCAGUGGGGGAUAUUGCACAAUGGGGGCAACCCUGAUGCAGCGACGCCGCGUGAGCGAUGGAGUACUUCGGUAUGUAAAGCUCUGUCAGCAGGGAAGAGAAUGACGGUACCUGACCAAGAAGCCCCGGCUAAAUACGUGCCAGCAGCCGCGGUAAUACGUAUGGGGCAAGCGUUAUCCGGAUUUACUGGGUGUAAAGGGAGCGUAGACGGAAAGGCAAGUCAGAAGUGAAAACCCAAGGCUCAACCAUGGGACUGCUUUUGAAACUGUCAAACUAGAGUACGGGAGAG
rnacentral:rRNA from 1 species